UAAUACGUAGGGGGCGAGCGUUGUCCGGAUUUAUUGGGCGUAAAGGGUUCGCAGGUGGCCUUUUAAGUCAGAUGUGAAAGAUCACAGCUCAACUGUGGUAAGCAUUUGAAACUGAAAGGCUUGAGUUAAGGAGAGGAAAGUGGAAUUCCUAGUGUAGCGGUGAAAUGCGUAGAUAUUAGGAGGAAUACCAGUGGCGAAGGCGACUUUCUGGACUUAUACUGACACUGAGGAACGAAAGCGUGGGGAGCAAACAGG
rnacentral:rRNA from 1 species